CGCGGGGUAGAGCAGAGGCAGCUCGUCGGGCUCAUAACCCGGAGGUCGCAGGUUCGAAUCCUGCCCCCGCAA
rnacentral:tRNA from 1 species